rnacentral:tRNA from 1 species
AAGGCUUUAAGUUAAACAAACUAAUAGCCUUCAAAGCUAUAAAUAUAAGAAAAUAAUCUUUUAGGCCUUA